AGAGUUUGAUCAUGGCUCAGGAUGAACGCUAGCGGCAGGCCUAAUACAUGCAAGUCGAACGGUAAGUAUGGUAGCAAUACUGUACCAAGAAUGACGCACGGGUGCGUAACACGUAUGCAACCUACCCUUUACAGGAGGAUAGCUCGGGGAAACUCGAAUUAACCCUUCAUAGUAUAAUUGAAUGGCAUCAUUUGGUUAUUAAAACUGAGGUGGUAAAGGAUGGGCAUGCGUCUGAUUAGUUAGUUGGUAGUGUAACGGACUACCAAGACGAUGAUCAGUAGGGGAACUGAGAGGUUGAUCCCCCACACUGGCACUGAGAUACGGGCCAGACUCCUACGGGAGGCAGCAGUAGGGAAUAUUGGUCAAUGGGUGAGAGCCUGAACCAGCCAUGCCGCGUGCAGGAAGACGGCCUUCUGGGUUGUAAACUGCUUUUGUCAGGGGAUAAAAUUUCCUUGCGAGGAAAAUUGAAGGUACCUGGCGAAUAAGCCACGGCUAACUACGUGCCAGCAGCCGCGGUAAUACGUAGGUGGCAAGCGUUGUCCGGAUUUAUUGGGUUUAAAGGGUGCGUAGGCGGCCUAUUAAGUCAGUGCUGAAAUAUCCCGGCUUAACCGGGAGGGUGGCAUUGAUACUGAUGGGCUAGAGUACAGAUGAGGUAGGCGGAAUUGACGGUGUAGCGGUGAAAUGCUUAGAUAUCGUCAAGAACACCUAUAGCGAAGGCAGCUUACUAGGCUGUAACUGACGCUGAGGCACGAAAGUGUGGGGAUCAAACAGGAUUAGAUACCCUAGUAGUCC
rnacentral:rRNA from 1 species